UUGAUCGUCCGAUUGAAAGUGAGACUUGUAAAAUCAUUGAAAACUCCUACCGUGCUUCAAUUCUGGCGUUUCUUGACGAAUGGAGCGUAUUUUCAGAGCGCAACGGUAUCGACCUGCUUAAAGUGAUUGAGGCGAUCAAGAUUCGGCCCACCCACUCGAAUAUCAUUUUUCCGGGACCGGGCAUCGGCGGGUAUUGUUUACCCAAAGACGGCGGCUUGGGUGUGUGGUCCUAUCACACGUUAAUGGGCUUUGAGGAUGACAUCUUUAAAAUCACACCGAUUUCUAUUGAUAUCAACGACAGCCGUGGGCUACGAGCAACGCAACUGG
rnacentral:rRNA from 1 species